CAACUUUCAGCAACGGAUCUCUUGGCUCUCGCAUCGAUGAAGAACGCAGCGAAAUGCGAUAAGUAAUGUGAAUUGCAGAAUUCAGUGAAUCAUCGAAUCUUUGAACGCACCUUGCGCCCCUUGGUAUUCCGAGGGGCAUGCCUGUUUGAGUGUCAUGG
rnacentral:rRNA from 4 species